UACGGGGGGGGCAAGCGUUGUUCGGAAUUACUGGGCGUAAAGGGCUCGUAGGCGGCCAACUAAGUCGGACGUGAAAUCCCUCAGCUUAACUGGGGAACUGCGUCUGAUACUGGAUGGCUUGAGUUUGGGAGAGGGAUGCGGAAUUCCAGGUGUAGCGGUGAAAUGCGUAGAUAUCUGGAGGAACACCGGUGGCGAAGGCGGCAUCCUGGACCAAUACUGACACUGAGGAGCGAAAGCCAGGGGAGCAAACGGG
rnacentral:rRNA from 1 species